rnacentral:lncRNA from 1 species
GCCACCUUUAUCACAGAGAGCCUGCUGUUGCACUGGAGGUCUGUAGCCUUUAUCACACAGGGCAUCCCUGUCACACCCAUCAGCUGGAACAGUCAGACCAACUUUAAAAACUGAACAUUUUACAUAUCAUCUUAAUUGAAAUUACCAGGACAGUGUCGUCCACUUACAGGAAUUUUCUGACAACUUCAAAGGAAGGGAAAGAAUGCCAAGAAUAGAGAAACGCAUAUAUAACGAUACUGGUUCAUACAGUGUAUCCACGAUUGAAAUGCAGUUUGACGAACAAUUAAGUGAGAUGAAAUAUAAAGCCACUGACAGAAGCGCCGAUAAAAAAUAUGUAGUUAUCUUCUGCAGUCAGGUCGAAGCAGAAGAGAAGGCUAAAGAAAAUACGGAAUGCAUGUUCAUAAAGGUUCUGGAUGGGACUCACGAGGGACAGUAUGGGUAUGCUGAACCUCCUCCCAAGACGUCUUGUCCAUAUAUGUGAUGCAGACAGAUCGCUUAUGCACUCUGAAGAAGAAGAAGGGAGUGACCUAUGAAAAUCAUCCUAAUUUCAUCCAGUCAGUCUAUCAGUCUAUCAAUUAAAGUUGAGUAGUUCCCUUUCACAGCCCCAAAUGCAGAAUAAGAUACACUUUUUUUUUUAACCACUCAUGUUAUGUAAUAUUUACAGUAUUGUACAAAAAAUGUUUAGGUUCUCUUAUAGUGAUGUAUUUGUAUGUUUUAUUAACAAAUCCUUGCUGGAUGUACCAUUCCCAUUCCUGAUCCUGUUUAAGAAAAUCAUUUUUGUGAAAUGAUGGACUGGAUUCUAAAUGAUAAUCUUACUAAUAAACUAUGAUGUCAGUGAAAAU